rfam:Oryza meridionalis cultivar OR44 (W2112) chromosome 7, whole genome shotgun sequence.
AGUGAGUGCGGUUUUACACUGUUCAUAUCCAACUUUUGAUCGUUCGUCUUAUUUGAAAAAAAUUUAUGAUUAGUAUUUUUGUUGUUAUUGGAUGAUGAAACAUUAAUAGUACUUUAUGUAUAACUAGUUUUUUUAAGUUUUUUUUAAAAAUUUUCAAAUAAGACGGACGGUCAAACGUUGGACACGAAUAUCUAUGGCUACGUUUAUU